UGUGAGCUCGAUGAGUAGGGCGGGACACGUGGUAUCCUGUCUGAAUAUGGGGGGACCAUCCUCCAAGGCUAAAUACUCCUGACUGACCGAUAGUGAACCAGUACCGUGAGGGAAAGGCGAAAAGAACCCCGGCGAGGGGAGUGAAAAAGAACCUGAAACCGUGUACGUACAAGCAGUGGGAGCACGCUUAGGCGUGUGACUGCGUACCUUUUGUAUAAUGGGUCAGCGACUUAUAUUCUGUAGCAAGGUUAACCGAAUAGGGGAGCCGAAGGGAAACCGAGUCUUAACUGGGCGUUAAGUUGCAGGGUAUAGACCCGAAACCCGGUGAUCUAGCCAUGGGCAGGUUGAAGGUUGGGUAACACUAACUGGAGGACCGAACCGACUAAUGUUGAAAAAUUAGCGGAUGACUUGUGGCUGGGGGUGAAAGGCCAAUCAAACCGGGAGAUAGCUGGUUCUCCCCGAAAGCUAUUUAGGUAGCGCCUCGUGAAUUCAUCUCCGGGGGUAGAGCACUGUUUCGGCAAGGGGGUCAUCCCGACUUACCAACCCGAUGCAAACUGCGAAUACCGGAGAAUGUUAUCACGGGAGACACACGGCGGGUGCUAACGUCCGUCGUGAAGAGGGAAACAACCCAGACCGCCAGCUAAGGUCCCAAAGUCAUGGUUAAGUGGGAAACGAUGUGGGAAGGCCCAGACAGCCAGGAUGUUGGCUUAGAAGCAGCCAUCAUUUAAAGAAAGCGUAAUAGCUCACUGGUCGAGUCGGCCUGCGCGGAAGAUGUAACGGGGCUAAACCAUGCACCGAAGCUGCGGCAGCGACGCUUAUGCGUUGUUGGGUAGGGGAGCGUUCUGUAAGCCUGUGAAGGUGUGCUGUGAGGCAUGCUGGAGGUAUCAGAAGUGCGAAUGCUGACAUAAGUAACGAUAAAGCGGGUGAAAAGCCCGCUCGCCGGAAGACCAAGGGUUCCUGUCCAACGUUAAUCGGGGCAGGGUGAGUCGACCCCUAAGGCGAGGCCGAAAGGCGUAGUCGAUGGGAAACAGGUUAAUAUUCCUGUACUUG
rnacentral:rRNA from 1 species